CUGGUUAGGCUAGGAAUAGGGAGGGCAUCCCGUCACAUAUUUUGAGAGGGGUGGAAUGGUUUGUUUGAUGUAUUCAUUCAACACCUCACCUUUACAUGUGUACAUGCCCUAUCUCUUCUUUUAGAUUGUAAGCUCUUUGAGGGCAGGAGAUCCAUUUUUCAUGUUUAAUCUUCCAGGACAAAGCCCUGAACAUGGUUUACCGAGCAGUGUCCAAGCCCCCUGCCUUGUUUGCAAAGGAACAUUCCAAAUGGAAAAGACCUGCAAGCACUGUAGCUCCUUUUGUGCCACAAUCUUACAAGGAAGCUCCUAUGUCCCUUUAAAUGGUCAGAAUGGCUCAUCUAAGAGAAUGGUGGGCAGCCUGUGGAACCUUUGAAACACCCAUUUUCCCUACAAGAUUUAUAGCAACCUAAAUGGAUUCCAAGACAGUCUGAUUUAUUGUGUGUUU